GAAGUGUUAGUAAAUAUUAUAUCACCUUGUCAAGGUGAAGUUAUAGGUUAAUCCCCUGUACACUUCU
rnacentral:tRNA from 1 species